AUUACUUUCUGCUGUUCUUUAUCUUUUGGUAUUGUUCUCUGAAUUGAAAGUCUUGUCAUGUUAAUUUAUUUAUAAUCUAACAGAAGCUGAAGAUGCACAGGCUGUUACUGAUGAGCCACUGUAACUCAUUCGCUGCCAAGGGCUGGGGCACACGCGAAAAUGCUGUGGCAGUGUUGACCCCCACCCCCCAUGCCAGUCCAGGAUCCAAGCCAUCACCACGCCUGGCACUUAGAUGACAAGCGUUUGGUUGGACUCCCUAUUGCUGGGGAUUUCUCAAAAAGAAUCCAAGUCCCAGAAGUUUUCUCAAAGAAAUGAUGUUGUGUAUUUGGCUCAGAAACAGAAUUGCAAAGUCCUUUCCAGUUGGUAGACUUGUAGAGAAGAUGCAAAGAAGAGGACAUGCACAGAAG
ensembl:lncRNA